rnacentral:rRNA from 1 species
UCAGCGGCGGACGGGGAGAAAGCCUAGGAAUCUGCCUGGUAGUGGGGGACAACGUUUUGAAAGGAACGCUAAUACCGCAUACGUCCUACGGGAGAAAGCAGGGGACCUUCGGGCCUUGCGCUAUCAGAUGAGCCUAGGUCGGAUUAGCUAGUUGGUGGGGUAAUGGCUCACCAAGGCGACGAUCCGUAACUGGUCUGAGAGGAUGAUCAGUCACACUGGAACUGAGACACGGUCCAGACUCCUACGGGAGGCAGCAGUGGGGAAUAUUGGACAAUGGGCGAAAGCCUGAUCCAGCCAUGCCGCGUGUGUGAAGAAGGUCUUCGGAUUGUAAAGCACUUUAAGUUGGGAGGAAGGGCAGUAAGUUAAUACCUUGCUGUUUUGACGUUACCGACAGAAUAAGCACCGGCUAACUCUGUGCCAGCAGCCGCGGUAAUACAGAGGGUGCAAGCGUUAAUCGGAAUUACUGGGCGUAAAGCGCGCGUAGGUGGUUUGUUAAGUUGGAUGUGAAAGCCCCGGGCUCAACCUGGGAACUGCAUCCAAAACUGGCAAGCUAGAGUACGGUAGAGGGUGGUGGAAUUUCCUGUGUAGCGGUGAAAUGCGUAGAUAUAGGAAGGAACACCAGUGGCGAAGGCGACCACCUGGACUGAUACUGACACUGAGGUGCGAAAAGCGUGGGGGAGCAAACAGGAUUAGAUACCCUGGUAGUCCACGCCCGUAAACGAUGUCAACUAGCUUUUGGAAUCCUUGAGAUUUUAGUGGCGCAGCUAAACGCAUUAAGUUGACCGCCUGGGGAGUACGGCCGCAAGGUUUAAAACUCAAAUGAAUUUGACGGGGGCCCGCACAAGCGGUUGGAGCAUGUGGUUUAUUUCGAAGCAACGCGAAGAACCUUUACCAGGGCCUUGACAUGCAG